GGAAGGCAAAUGCACCCGGUGGUGUGCCCGGGCUUCAAACCCGGUAAGGGGCGUCAGCCGCUCCUUGGUAGGUUCGACUCCUGCUGCUUUCCGCCA
rnacentral:tRNA from 1 species